rnacentral:lncRNA from 1 species
AAUUUGCUAAUUAACAGGCUAAUAACUAAUAAUUAACAUCCUAGACAUGAGCUGGAAUAUUCUAAAUUUGCUGUAACAUAUUUCUAACACAUACUGGAGGUACUGGAGGGAAAAACCAUGAUAAAUAGCCUUGCAGAACAAAUCUCUUGAAUCCAUACAUAUGAGCAUCCAUUAGAUCAGCACAAAACAUCACCAGACAUUCCAUUCCCGUUCCAUUUCGUG